CAAAACGUUUUUGUGCAAUGUAAUUUGCUCCGUUGCACAAGUAUAUUUUUGUACUAGUGGUGUGUUCAGGGAGUUCUUUGAGUUGCCUGCAGAGGACAAGGCAAACCUCUACUCUGACGACCAGCAGUGGGUAUUUUGAUUGGGAAGAUGUUCAUCUUUGGCGCGGUUACCUACGCCACCCUUGCAUCCUCUAGAAGAAUACAUGCACGAGUGGCCUCACAGCCUAGUAGAUAUAUAGGUACCAAAGAUAUAC
rnacentral:lncRNA from 1 species